rnacentral:rRNA from 1 species
CAGCAGCCACGGGAAUACGGAGGUGGCAAGCGUUGUCCGGAAUUAUUGGGCGUAAAGGGCUCGCAGGCGGUUUCUUAAGUCUGAUGUGAAAGCCCCCGGCUCAACCGGGGAAGGUCAUUGGAAACUGGGAAACUUGAGUGCAGAAGAGGAGAGUGGAAUUCCACGUGUAGCGGUGAAAUGCGUAGAGAUGUGGAGGAACACCAGUGGCGAAGGCGACUCUCUGGUCUGUAACUGACGCUGAGGAGCGAAAGCGUGGGGAGCGAACAGGAUUAGAUACCCCUGUAGUCCCUGUCUCUUAUAA